AACUUGUUUGUAAAUAAAUAUGUUGGUUGUCUUUAUUUUUUGUGUAUUCACUGUAUUGUAUUGAACAAAAUGGUUAUGCGGCCUGCGCUUGUUAUUCUCUU